GGUGCUCACUUGUCCUCCU
rnacentral:miRNA from 4 species